UGACCACCUGAGGUCUCAGGGAAAGAAGCCCAUGGCCUUCUCUCCAGCAUCCUGUUCCCUCCAUGCCUGCCAGUCAGUGGGAGGCGUCUUUGAUGGUGGAGCAUCUCCCAUGGGGGUCCUGAGGGCUGCCUCCAAGGGCAUUGGCUUCCUGAACUUAUGGAUGCACAGACACGUGUGCUGAGCAAGUUCCCGUUGGUGUCCACAGCUGCACAGAAGCUGCACAGAAGCCCUGGGGGAAAAACUUGUGGAGAACACUGGAGGGCGCUCUGUCUUCUUGCUGAUCUUAAAGGGACAAGUGCUUCACCUGGGAGAGCCCUGUCUUUCUGACUCCAGAUAGACAUCCCUGGCAGUGGUGGUGCAGCAAGAACUGGAGUUCUCAAGCAUCUCCAAAAAAAAUGGUCCUGGAGUUGCCAUUGGAAGACAUCCCUAGCCCUGCUUCAGCUGUUCCCUUGUUUCAUGUCCUUGGAUUAAGUCACUCACCCCUGAAGAUCCGUCUCGUCUUCUGUAAACCGGAAGCUGAUGAUAAUGAUCCCAAUGACCUCACAGGAGGCUGAAAUGACAGUCUGAAUGUGCAAGAGCAUUGCAUACGAUGAAAUGUA
rnacentral:lncRNA from 1 species